CAAAAAAUAGUUUAUUGGUAGAAUAUUUCAGUUACAAUGAAGAGGAAAAAAAAUUUUUUUUUUGA
rnacentral:tRNA from 1 species